GAUGAACGCUGGCGGCGUGCCUAAUACAUGCAAGUCGAACGCUUCACUUCGGUGAAGAGUGGCGAACGGGUGAGGAAUACAUAAGUAACCUGGCAUCUACAGGGGGAUAACUGAUGGAAACGUCAGCUAAGACCGCAUAGGUGUAGAGAUCGCAUGAACUCUAUAUGAAAAGUGCUACGGGACUGGUAGAUGAUGGACUUAUGGCGCAUUAGCUUGUUGGUAGGGUAACGGCCUACCAAGGCGACGAUGCGUAGCCGACCUGAGAGGGUGACCGGCCACACUGGGACUGAGACACGGCCCAGACUCCUACGGGAGGCAGCAGUAGGGAAUUUUCGGCAAUGGGGGAAACCCUGACCGAGCAACGCCGCGUGAAGGAAGAAGUAAUUCGUUAUGUAAACUUCUGUCAUAGAGGAAGAACGGUGGAUAUAGGGAAUGAUAUCCAAGUGACGGUACUCUAUAAGAAAGCAACGGCUAACUACGUG
rnacentral:rRNA from 1 species